CAGCUUCAUAGACGCGAAGAAGCCUUCCAGACUCAAAGAGAGACAAAGAUUUGGAAAUUUUGUAUACAACUCUCUCACAGAAAGACAACAACGUUUUGGGAUGAAGACUCUCACUAAAAGAGAACAUCGUUUGACAGCGACAGAGCAGAGCACAAAGCAAAACGAAAACGAAAACGAAAGUUAAAUCGAAGGAAGAUGCAGUGGAAAACCUUUGAGAGCGAGGGAAACACAGAGGGGAAAGCAACUGAGCAAAUUUGCGAAAAAGAAAAGGAAAACAAAAGGUAAAGCAACCACAGUCAAAAAGGGCAUCCAACGAUGAUCGACGCAUGGACCAAAUUGAAACCUCGAGAAUUCACAUAUCACACAAACACAUGGUCAUCAGGGGCAAGGUAGUAAUUCCACUGUACCCAAAGUGGAAAAAAUGCUGAUAAAAAGGGCAUUUCCGCCCUUUCACUAUUGCUGAACAGUGCCAUCCCAACCAGGUCUUAGCAUGUAUAACUAGCAAAGAUGCCCACGCUCCGCUGCGGGUUUAAAACCAUAACCACAAUUUAACACACCCAUCUCAAGUAAUGGGACUAAGUAACCUUUCCAACAAUGAUUAGCAACUAAAAUUGGUCCACAAAUUAAUAAAAAGAAAAGCCAAGUGAAAAUCUGAACACUAUCAGCAGAUACAUACAUAUCCAUACAUGGUGGAUCCAUAAAUUUUAUCAUGAGUUCAGGUGUAAACAACUUGAUUGGGCUCACGAUAUAGGGUAAAUGAGGUUUAGCAACAUCACUUCCAAAACUUACACAGAUCGUUUUACAGAGCAGGAGGUUAUGAGAAUUGAGAAAUAAUACAUAUGUAUGUGAAAUCUUAUAAUUGCCAUUAAUAAUACAUAUAAUGAGGUUUAGCAGCAUCACUCCCAAUUCUUCUAUCAUAUAAUUGCCAUUAAUAUACAUAUGUGAAAUCGUAAUCUAUGUGAUAAGACUUGAGAAAUAAAAAAAAAAACUCAAAUUCCUGAAAUAACGAAUGCACAAACUUCAUGAUGAGAUUGAAGGUUUAUCUGUAGAUCAUCAACCAAUGAUGCUUUUGCCCAAGCAAUCUGAUCAUUUCUCUCGGCCCCAAGCAGAGCAGCCUCCUUGGAUUUAGUAAGCCGAUCAAGUGUUUUGUUGUCAGCCUACAACUUGGUUACCU
rnacentral:lncRNA from 1 species